AGUGAACGCUGGCGGUAGGCCUAACACAUGCAAGUCGAACGGCAGCACAGUAAGAGCUUGCUCUUACGGGUGGCGAGUGGCGGACGGGUGAGGAAUACAUCGGAAUCUACUUUUUCGUGGGGGAUAACGUAGGGAAACUUACGCUAAUACCGCAUACGACCUACGGGUGAAAGCAGGGGAUCUUCGGACCUUGCGCGACUGAAUGAGCCGAUGUCGGAUUAGCUAGUUGGCGGGGUAAAGGCCCACCAAGGCGACGAUCCGUAGCUGGUCUGAGAGGAUGAUCAGCCACAUUGGAACUGAGACACGGUCCAGACUCCUACGGGAGGCAGCAGUGGGGAAUAUUGGACAAUGGGCGCAAGCCUGAUCCAGCCAUACCGCGUGGGUGAAGAAGGCCUUCGGGUUGUAAAGCCCUUUUGUUGGGAAAGAAAAGCAGCAGGUUAAUACCCCGCUGUUCUGACGGUACCCAAAGAAUAAGCACCGGCUAACUUCGUG
rnacentral:rRNA from 1 species